UUGACGGGGCCGCACAAGCGGUGGAGCAUGUGGUUAAUUCGAAGCAACGCGAAGAACCUUACCAGGUCUUGACAUCCCGAUGCUAUUUCUAGAGAUAGAAAGUUACUUCGGUACAUCGGUGACAGGUGGUGCAUGGUUGUCGUCAGCUCGUGUCGUGAGAUGUUGGGUUAAGUCCCGCAACGAGCGCAACCCCUAUUGUUAGUUGCCAUCAUUCAGUUGGGCACUCUAGCGAGACUGCCGGUAAUAAACCGGAGGAAGUGGGGAUGACGUCAAAUCAUCAUGCCCCUUAUGACCUGGGCUACACACGUGCUACAAUGGUUGGUACAACGAGUUGCGAGUCGGUGACGGCGAGCUAAUCUCUUAAAGCCAAUCUCAGUUCGGAUUGUAGGCUGCAACUCGCCUACAUGAAGUCGGAAUCGCUAGUAAUCGCGGAUCAGCACGCCGCGGUGAAUACGUUCCCGGGCCUU
rnacentral:rRNA from 1 species